UACAGAGGUCCCAAGCGUUACUGAGAAUCACUGGGUUUAAAGGGUGCGUAGGUGGUCCGUUAAGUCAGUUGUGAAAUCCCCGGGCUCAACCCGGGAACUGCUUCUGAUACUGGCGGACUUGAGGCCAGUAGGGGUCACUAGAACUGACGGUGGAGCGGUGAAAUGCGUAGAUAUCGUCAGGAAUGCCGGUGGCGAAGGCGAUCAUCUGGGGUUGUUCUGACACUGAGGAGCGAAAGCUAGGGGAGCAAACGGG
rnacentral:rRNA from 1 species